rnacentral:rRNA from 1 species
CCUACGGGAGGCAGCAGUGGGGAAUUUUGGACAAUGGGCGCAAGCCUGAUCCAGCAAUGCCGCGUGUGUGAAGAAGGCCUUCGGGUUGUAAAGCACUUUUGUCCGGAAAGAAAACUGCCUGGCUAAUAUCCGGGCGGGAUGACGGUACCGGAAGAAUAAGCACCGGCUAACUACGUGCCAGCAGCCGCGGUAAU